GACGAACGCUGGCGGCGUGCUUAACACAUGCAAGUCGAACGGAAAGGCCCUGCUUUUGUGGGGUGCUCGAGUGGCGCACGGGUGAGUAACACGUGAGUAACCUGCCCUUGACUUUGGGAUAACUUCAGGGAACUGGGGCUAAUACCGGAUAGGAGCUCCUGCUCCAUGUGGUGGGUUGGAGAGUUUCGGCGGUUGGGGAUGGACUCGCGGCUUCUCAGCUGGUUUGUGGGGUAGUGGCAUACCAAGGCUUUGACGGGUAGCCGGCCUGAGAGGGUGACCGGCCACAUUGGGACUGAGAGACGGCCCAGACUCCUACGGGCGGCAGCAGUGGGGAAUAUGGCACAAUGGGCGGAAGCCAGAUGCAACAACGCCGCGUGCGGGAUGACGGCUUUCGGGUUGUAAACCGCUGUCGCCGGUGACGAAGCGUGAGUGACGGUAAUGGGUAAAGAAGCACCGGCUAACUACGUG
rnacentral:rRNA from 1 species